rnacentral:tRNA from 2 species
GGAGGGGUACCCAAGUGGUCAACGGGGGCAGACUGUAAAUCUGCUGGCGAUGCCUUCGUAGGUUCAAAUCCUACCCCCUCCACCA